rnacentral:lncRNA from 1 species
AAAAAGUUUACAUGAUUGUUUAAUUAUUAUUAAAAUGAUUUUAUAAAAAGAAAAGAAAAAACAAACCUAACGAAUCAUUGAAAGCACAAAAAUAACAGACUAAGAGUUGAGCCUCAUUAAAACUUCUUAAGGAAAACCCAAUGGAAAACCUUAAAGAGAGAGAGAGAAGAAAAAAAAAAGAGUACUCGUAUAGUAAAACAACGCCCCAAUAGACCAGAGACGGACAAGAAGCGAAAAGACGACAGAGAGUAAGCUUCGGACUAAUCAUC